rnacentral:rRNA from 1 species
CCCCCCCGGUGGCUCGCCAGAACCCCCAAUUUUUACAGGUUGACCUCGGAUCAGGUAGGGAUACCCGCUGAACUUAAGCAUAUCAAUAAGCGGAGGAAAAGAAACCAACAGGGAUUACCUCAGUAACGGCGAGUGAAGCGGUAACAGCUCAAAUUUGAAAGCUGCCAACAGGCCGCGUUGUAAUUUGUAGAAGCUGCUUUGGGUGUCGGCCCGGUCUAAGUUCCUUGGAACAGGACGUCAUAGAGGGUGAGAAUCCCGUAUGUGAUCGGUGCCGUUGCCCGUGUAAAGCGCUUUCGACGAGUCGAGUUGUUUGGGAAUGCAGCUCAAAAUGGGUGGUAAAUUUCAUCUAAAGCUAAAUACCGGCCAGAGACCGAUAGCGCACAAGUAGAGUGAUCGAAAGAUGAAAAGCACUUUGAAAAGAGGGUUAAAUAGCACGUGAAAUUGUUGAAAGGGAAGCGUUUGUGACCAGACUUGCGCCGUUCCGAUCAUCCGGUGUUCUCACCGGUGCACUCGGGACGGCUCAGGCCAGCAUCGGUUUUGGCGGGGGGAUAAAGGUCCGGGGAACGUAGCUCCUCCGGGAGUGUUAUAGCCCCGGGCGUAAUGCCCUCGCCGGGACCGAGGUUCGCGCAUCUGCAAGGAUGCUGGCGUAAUGGUCAUCAACGACCCGUCUUGAAACACGGACCAAGGG